rnacentral:lncRNA from 1 species
GUGAGAAUGAGCAACCCCAGACCAUCCAGGCAGCCCUGAGUCAGCAUCCAGCCCUGCCUCUGCAUGCAGAGAAGUGGUUUUCUCAAGCACUGUGGAAUAGUCAGCCCACAUCCCUAUGGAACCACCCACCUUUCCAAAAAAUCCUCCAAGCUGGUAAAGGCUGGAUUGUCAAGGAAGUCCCCCACUGUGCCUUUUUCUUUCUGGCAGCCCUCUGCUCCAUUGAUGAAGGUUCAGCCAGGAGUCCUGGGCUGCCCCUCCAUCAAGACCAAGCUGGCUCACGGUCACUUGUGACAAUAAGUAAAGCAUCCCCAUCAUCAUCAUCAACUGACAAAAACUGAUACCACCCCAGUCCCCAUGCUGGGGCCUGGGUGCUAAAGACAAGAUCUCGGCUGAGCACGCCACUGCCUGGGCCUCAGAGUGAGCUAUGCGCUUGUACUUUAUAAGAUGUAUCUCCGUUUAUCCACACCAUGGGUUAUACCAACUCAUGGGAUAAAUGCUAAUUCUUUUGGCAGUUUUUACAGUUUUAUUUAAACACAAACGUGCACAUGAGCUGUCUACUCAUUUUCUUUGCCAUGCUGCCUGGCAUUAGGGUUGGUGACUCUGAUGGCUAGCUGGGCGGCUCUUUCCAUGAUGGCUUUGUGGUUCUUGGAGGCAACAUUGUGAGCGAUGUCAGCACAGUAAGAUUUAUCGCACAUCAGCAGCACUUCCAGCUCCUUGACAUUGUGGACCAGGAACUUCCAGAAGCCACUGGGCAGCAUGUGCUUUUUUGGUUGCUCCCAUAACCAAUGUUGGGCAUCAAGAUCUGGCCUUUGAACCUUCUGUGAACCCUGUUGUCAAUACCUCUGGGUUCCCAUCAGUUACACUUAAUUCUGACAUAUCAGUCUGACUGGUGACGGAUGAACUUCUUGGUUCUCUUUUUGACGAUCUUGGACUUCACAAGGGGUCUAAGGGCGGCCAUGAUGCUGAGGAGAUGGCUGCCACCUCAUAGGCAGCACUGAGGAAGAGGAUAAAUGCUAUUAUUAAACCCAUUGUACGGAUGAGGAAACUGAGACUCCAGAGGGUGAAGUAGCUUGUAUAAGGUCAUGCCCUUAGCAAGUGCAUCUGGAUUUACAUUCUGAGCUCUUGACUAAUCUAUGUUGCCUCCAAUGGGCUCCUUCAUUAGAGACUUGUAGUAGUUAGAUUAUGUCUAAUUAUGAGUAAUAGAAAAAAACCCAAAUAACAGCAGUUUAAGCAACAUAGACGUUUACUUCUCUGUUGUGUCCAAGGCAUUCCAAGGAGCUGUCUGGGCUGGUAUGGAGCCCCAGAGUGUCAAUGAAUCAGGUUCCUUCUCUCCGUUGUUCUGUGCUGCAUUGGUUUCAUGCCUAAGGUCACCUUCUGGUCCACAGUAACUGCUGGAGCUCCAGCCAUUGCAUUUCACUCUUGCCAGCAUAAAGGAAGAAACAAAUUAACUUGUGCAUGCUUUUUCUUGAAGCAUAUUUUCUAGAAGGUUUCAAA